rnacentral:rRNA from 1 species
UACGUAGGCAGCAAGCGUUGUUCGGAGUUACUGGGCGUAAAGAGCUCGUAGGCGGCUUGUCACGUCGGGUGUGAAAGCCCGGGGCUUAACCCCGGGUCUGCAUUCGAUACGGGCUAGCUAGAGUGUGGUAGGGGAGAUCGGAAUUCCUGGUGUAGCGGUGAAAUGCGCAGAUAUCAGGAGGAACACCGGUGGCGAAGGCGGAUCUCUGGGCCAUUACUGACGCUGAGGAGCGAAAGCGUGGGGAGCGAACAGG